CACAUGCAAGUCGAGCGCACCCUUCGGGGCGAGCGGCGGACGGGUUAGUAACGCGUGGGAACGUACCCUUGUCUACGGAAUAGCCUUUGGAAACGAAGAGUAAUACCGUAUACGCCCUUCGGGGGAAAGAUUUAUCGGACAAGGGUCGGCCCGCGUUAGAUUAGAUAGUUGGUGGGGUAAUGGCCUACCAAGUCUACGAUCUAUAGCUGGUUUUAGAGGAUGAUCAGCAACACUGGGACUGAGACACGGCCCAG
rnacentral:rRNA from 1 species